AGGCGAAUAAGCUGCAAGACAUGUUGGAUGGAUUCAUUAAAAAAUUUGUUCUCUGUCCUGAAUGUGAGAAUCCUGAAACAGAUUUGCAUGUCAAUCCAAAGAAGCAAACAAUAGGUAAUUCUUGUAAAGCCUGUGGCUAUCGAGGCAUGCUUGACACACAUCAUAAACUCUGCACAUUCAUUCUCAAAAACCCACCUGGUGAGUCUUCCAUGAUGAACUCCUAAGAUCCUAAGAUAAGUGACUAACUGUUGGGAACAAAAUAGAAGAUUUUUUUGUAAUAGGAAUGUAAGGGAGACUGGGCACGGUGGCUCAUGCAUUCCCCGCAUUUUGGGAGGCCAGGGCGGCCACAUCACUUGAGGCCAGGAGUUCAAGACCAGCCAGGCCAACAUAGUGAAACCCGUCUAGUAAAAACACAAAAAUUAGCUUAGCGUAGUGGUGUGCUCCUGUAAUCCCAGCUGCUUGGGUGGCUGAGGCAUGAGCGUCGCUUGAACGUCCGAGGCAGAGGUUGCACUGAGCUGAGAUCGUGCCACUUGCACUCCAGCUUGGGCAACAGCGACUCUCUCAAAAAAACAAUAUAAGGAACUUUUUAGUCCUUGUACUAUGUUUUAUCAAAUCCAAGACAUCUUUCAAAAGUGUAUUGUUAAUUACCAUUAAAAGUGAAAAAUAGGCUGCCAAUUAAACUGUGCCAUAUCAAUUAAGACAGAU
rnacentral:sRNA from 1 species